GCUGGGCGUGGUGGCGCACACCUGUAGUCCCAGCUACUUGGGAGGCUGAGGCAGGAGAAUCACUUGAACCUGGGAGGCGGAGGUUGCAGUGAGCCGAGAUUGAGCCACUGCACUCCAGCCUGGGUGACAGAGCGAGACUCUGUCUCAA
rnacentral:SRP_RNA from 2 species